CUCUCCUUUGGAGUUUUACAGUGAGCCCAGGAUGCAGAGCACUCUUGAAAAUGACGCUAUCUUCGAUAGUCUUCACUGCUAACUCUUUGUGAGCACUGGCAAAAACAAUCCCAGCUGCCCUAGCAGCUCUAGGAGAGGCUGGCAGAAGGACAUGCUGUCUGAAAGCAGGCCUACCACUUCUGGCUAGGAAUACAGGUGGCUAAGUGACAUCUACGCUAACUGUAGCAGUUUUCAUCACAAGGAUUCAGUUGUGUUUGAAGCCAUCACCCUUUCUGGAUGAUGCAAAGACUCUGCAGAGCAUACUGAGGAGAACAUCGUAAAGGCAAGAAAGUGUAAAUAAAAGUGUACAGCUGGAAAUUUCUACAAUGCAUGUCAUAACUCUUUGUUCCUGGCAUCCUCUUGGUAGCAGAUUCAAAGAAGCACGCAUAGUCUGCUGCUUUUUCUUUAAUAGUGUCAUUAACUGCGUAAUUUAACAAGUUCACAAUUUUUUGUAAUUUGAACUGCUGGAAUAAUAACGGAAUAUAUACUUUAUUAAUGAUCAAAGGGGUGUAGAUCACUGAGCUGGCCCAAAUUAGUCUCACAGUAAUAGCGGAGGAUUAUUAAAUGUGUGAAAACUUCUGAUUCUUGUAUGAGUGGGAACUGCCUCUUUGCAAUAGUUGACUAAUUAAUGUUAAAUUUGAGACACCUCUGAUAGUGCAGUUGAAUGCAGAUAUAUGUAUUACCAGAGGCUAUAUUUCUG